CUCAGAACAAAACUACAGAUCAUUAGCUGGAUAAAGCAAGCCAGAGAUCCAGAGAGAGCACGAGUGGGAAAGGUGUUUAAAAUGUCAUCCAAUGCUAAAGAAAGACACUAAGAAAAGGAAAGAAGGAAAAAACAUGCAUUGAAGGCCCCUGAACUCAUAUAUUCCAACAGCUUAAAAAGAUGUCAAGAACAUUCCAUGCUAGAAUUGCAGUGCUAUAAACCACGGCCCAUUUCUUCUAUGGUCAUCUAAAAGACAAUUUAAGCUUUGAUAUAUUAAAGCAACUGUGGAAUGUUAAGAUAAUGAUGUUGCUGAUGAUAUGGAUGAACAGAGAAACCAUCCCUGACUAAGGCCAGCAGUCUGCUCUUUCCCUAACAGUUUCUUUAUUCCUGCUGUUUAAAAACCAGAUAAUUAAUAAAAUGAUGGUCAUCUGGCUUUCUCUUGGAAACCAAAGACGAAUCAUGGAGGCUGCUCAAUGUUUAAAUACCCUUGGAGCUUUCUUAGCCAAGUCUGCUACCAUAGAAGGAUAUGUUUGAAGGGUAUAUUUUGGCUGUGAAGGCCGAAAAACCCACUCCAGUAACUUGUCUUUCUGAUGUAUACAUCCAAAAGGUAUAUCUGGGGUAUCUAAUAUUGUAACUUCUAAAGGCACACCAGAUUCUAUGCGAUGAGCCAUUGCAGUUUCAAUUGAUUUUUGUAUUUUUUCUAAUUGCUGUUUUGCUUUUGUAGUAAGUGUUCUAGGAGAUGUAGGAUCAGGGUCUCCUCUAAGAAUAUCAUAUA